AUUGAACGCUGGCGGCAGGCCUAACACAUGCAAGUCGAGCGGCAGCGGGAAAGUAGCUUGCUACUUUUGCCGGCGAGCGGCGGACGGGUGAGUAAUGCCUGGGGAUCUGCCCAGUCGAGGGGGAUAACUACUGGAAACGGUAGCUAAUACCGCAUACGCCCUACGGGGGAAAGCCGGGGACCUUCGGGCCUUGCGCGAUUGGAUGAACCCAGGUGGAAUUAGCUAGUUGGUGAGGUAAUGGCUCACCAAGGCGACGAUCCCUAGCUGGUCUGAGAGGAUGAUCAGCCACACUGGAACUGAGACACGGUCCAGACUCCUACGGGAGGCAGCAGUGGGGAAUAUUGCACAAUGGGGGAAACCCUGAUGCAGCCAUGCCGCGUGUGUGAAGAAGGCCUUCGGGUUGUAAAGCACUUUCAGCGAGGAGGAAAGGUUGGUAGCUAAUAACUGCCAGCUGUGACGUUACUCGCAGAAGAAGCACCGGCUAACUCCGUGCCAGCCGCCGCGGUAAGAC
rnacentral:rRNA from 1 species